UGGGGAAUCUUGGACAAUGGGGGCAACCCUGAUCCAGCCAUGCCGCGUGAGUGAUGAAGGCCUUAGGGUCGUAAAGCUCUUUCGCCUGUGAAGAUAAUGACGGUAGCAGGUAAAGAAACCCCGGCUAACUCCGUGCCAGCAGCCGCGGUAAUACGGAGGGGGCAAGCGUUAUUCGGAAUUACUGGGCGUAAAGGGCGUGUAGGCGGCUUGAUAGGUCAAAGGUGAAAUCCCUCGGCUCAACCGAGGAACUGCCUUUGAAACCAUCUGGCUCGAGGCUGGGAGGGGGUAGCGGAAUUCCUGGUGUAGCGGUGAAAUGCGUAGAUAUCAGGAGGAACACCAGUGGCGAAGGCGGCUACCUGGACCAGUUCUGACGCUGAGGCGCGAAAGCGUGGGGAGCAAACAGGAUUAGAUACCCUGGUAGUCCACGCCGUAAACGAUGGGUGCUAGGUGUUGGGUAGCUUGCUAUUCAGUGCCGAAGCUAACGCGUUAAGCA
rnacentral:rRNA from 1 species